GCUUGUCUCAAAGAUUAAGCCAUGCAUGUCUUAGUGUAAAUAACUCUUAUGAAACUGCGAAUGGCUCAUUAAAUCAGUUAUCAAAUACGUGAUGGUCGCCUACUACAUGGAUAACCGUAGUAAUUCUAGAGCUAAUACAUGCAUCAACACCCGACUGUUCGCGGAAGGGUAGUAUUUAUUAGGUAUAGACCAACCCUCUUUUGGAGGUGCUUUGGUGAUUCAUAAUAACUCCUCGAAUCGCAUGGCCUUGCGCCGGCGAUGUUUCAUUCAAAUUUCUGCCCUAUCAAUUUGAUGGUAGGAUAGAGGCCUACCAUGGUGGUAACGGGUGACGGAGAAUUAGGGUUCGAUUCCGGAGAGGGAGCCUGAGAAACGGCUACCACAUCCAAGGAAGGCAGCAGG
rnacentral:rRNA from 1 species